GAUGAACGCUGGCGGCGUGCCUAAUACAUGCAAGUCGUACGGAAAGGCCCUUCGGGGUACUCGAGUGGCGGACGGCUGAGUAACGCGUGGGAACGCGCCCCAAAGUGAGGGAUAACGCACCGAAAGGUGUGCUAAUACCGCAUAUGGUCUUCGGAUUAAAGCUUCGGCGCUUUGGGAGCGGCCCGCGUACGAUUAGAUAGUUGGUGAGGUAAUGGCUCACCAAGUCGACGAUCGUUAGCUGGUCUGAGAGGAUGAUCAGCCAGACUGGGACUGAGACACGGCCCAGACUCCUACGGGAGGCAGCAGUAAGGAAUCUUCCACAAUGGGGGCAACCCUGAUGGAGCAACGCCGCGUGCAGGAUGAAGGUUUUCGGAUCGUAAACUGCUUUUAUAAGUGAAGAAUAUGACGGUAACUUAUGAAUGAGGAUCGGCUAACUACGUGCCAGCCGCCACAGUAAUAC
rnacentral:rRNA from 1 species